UACGUAGGGACCAAGCGUUGUUCGGAUUUACUGGGCGUAAAGGGCGCGUAGGCGGCAAUUCAAGUCAGCUGUGAAAUCUCCGGGCUUAACUCGGAACGGUCAGCUGAUACUGCUUUGCUAGAGUGCAGAAGGGGCAAUCGGAAUUCUUGGUGUAGCGGUGAAAUGCGUAGAUAUUCGGAGGAACACCAGAAGCGAAGGCGGCCAACUGGCCCGAUACUGACGCUGAGGCGCGAAAGCGUGGGGAGCAAACAGG
rnacentral:rRNA from 1 species